CCCCGCGCGUGACCGGGCGGUCCGGGAGCAGCAUCCCCGUGGGAAGGAGGGAGGGAGGGAAGGAGGGAGCCGGGCUGGGUGAGUCAACACUGCAGAGCUGCUGCGAGAGGAGCGGGAGGCAGAGCCAGGCCGGCCGGGAAGGACGGAUUUGCUGAGCCCGCGACAAAAAUGGUUUGAGUAAUUAUCGACGCCUGCCGCUAUGUGGCCAGGAAGAUGAGGACCCUGUGGAGCCGGGAGCACCGGGAGCCACCGCCCUGCCCGGCACAGGCAGAGUGAGUCCGGACCCCGGGGGGACAGGGACAUCCACACACACUCGGGAUGGAGGGGCCAGGGCUCCCCGGGGCCCCCAGGGCACCCCCACACCUCCCUGUCCCCUCCCUCCGUGUGCUCCGGUGACCAGAGUCUUCCUCGGAGCCCGGUGCUUGAGCUGAGGAGGAACAGAUGUAAAGGCAAAGGUAUCAGCACCCCCUGAAGCAACAGCCUCCCUUCCCAGGAACAUCAAACCCAUCCAGUGCAGGUCCCGACAGUAAAAGCCCUCAAGGUCCUCCCAUGAAGGCCACAAGAUUUCUUCCCACUGAUUUCUCCAGGGAAUCCAUUUGCUGGGAAUCUUGCAGUGCAGGGAUUGGAAAAUAUCAGCGAAUCCCUCCUGUAUCUGCUCUCAACACAGAAGCACAAUGAUAUAAAACAUCUUAAUUGGUCUCCUGUUACCAGAAUUUUCUAGCUGGCAGACAAAAAAAGAAGAUUCCCAAUAUGUAUCAGGUGCUCCUGGCACUUCUGGGCCAUGGAAUACCAGGAGAAGAGCUGGAGCCAUUGCAUCCCAGCAGCAAAUUGGAAUUUCAUCCUGUGAAACCAAACUGUGCUCCUGAUGAUAUCGGUAUAAAAUCAGUUUCCAUGAAGGUCAAAUCAGUCCCUGAGCUGGAGUGAGGAGCCUGGGAGCUCAGGGCUGUGGAAAUCCCAGGAUGUUUUGUACAACCCCUUCCCCCAUGCCCAGCCUGAACAACCAGCUCCCCCAGAGCAGAGGCUGCAGGAGCACAGCAGGACCCCCCCAGCCCCUGCAGUGUCACAGAGCAGUGACAGCAGAAUCACAAACCCCACACUCGUGGGGGAGACUCUGCCCGACCCCCCUGUGACAGCUGAGCCAGAAGUAAAGUUGGAUCAAAAGCA